GGAUGACUGGCAGAGUGGCUUAUCGCAUCAUCUUGCUAAGGUGACGGCCUGUUGUGGCCCGGGAGUUCGAAUCUCUCAUCAUCCG
rnacentral:tRNA from 1 species